rnacentral:rRNA from 1 species
AUACGGAGGAUGCGAGCGUUAUCCGGAUUUAUUGGGUUUAAAGGGUGCGCAGGCGGGCGGUUAAGUCAGCGGUGAAAGGCUCGGGCUCAACCGGAGCAGUGCCGUUGAUACUGGUUGUCUUGAAUGCGGUCAAGGCCGGCGGAAUGUGGCGUGUAGCGGGGAAAUGCAUAGAUAUGCCACAGAACACCGAUAGCGAAGGCAGCUGGCCGGGCCUGCAUUGACGCUCAGGCACGAAAGCGUGGGGAUCGAACAGGAUUAGAUACCCUGGUAGUCCACGCUGUAAACGAUGGACACUCGUUGUCGGCGACAGACAGUCGGCGGCCAAGCGAAAGUGAUAAGUGUCCCACCUGGGGAGUACGGUCGCAAGGCUGAAACUCAAAUGAAUUGACGGGG